ensembl:misc_RNA 7SK 7SK RNA
GGAUGUGAGAGCGAUCUGGCUGUGACAUCUGUAACACCUUGAUCACCAAGGGUUGAUUUGGCUGAUCUGACUGCCUAGGCAGUUGUCACCUUCCUCCUUCACAGCUCCAUGUGUGUCCCUCCUGAAGCUGCGCUCGGUCUAAGAAGAUGACCUUCCCCAAUAGAGGAGAGGACCAGAGAAGACUUUUAUUCCAUCAAGGGUAUACAAGUAGCUGCACUCCCCUGCUAGAACCUUCAAACAAGCUCUCAAGAACAUUUGUAGGAGAACGCAGUGGAGUCAAACUUCCAAGACUCCAAAUGAGGGGCUGCACGUGGCAGUCUGACUUUCUAA